GAUCAAGCGUAAAAAGGGCAUUUGGGGGAUGCCUUGGCAGCAAGAGGCGAUGAAGGACGUAAUACCCUGCGAUAAGCUACGGGGAGCCGGGAAUAGGCUUUGAUCCGUAGAUCUCCGAAUGGGGCAACCCACCUAUCGUUGUUUUAUUGAAGACCUGUUCUUCAUUAGAACAACGAAUUAAGGUAUCAUAGACCUGAAUAUAUAGGGUUUAUGAGGCAAACCUGGGGAACUGAAACAUCUAAGUACCCAGAGGAAAGGACAUCAACCGAGACUCCGCUAGUAGUGGCGAGCGAACGCGGACCAGCCAAGUCAUGAGUUUUACUGGAACUGUGUUGGAAAACCAGAUCAGAGAGGGUGAAAAUCCCGUACAGGAAAAAACGAUUGACUGUAUCAAGUAGGGCGGGACACGUGAAAUCCUGUCUGAAGAUCGGGGGACCACCCUCGAAGGCUAAGUACUCCUUGCUGACCGAUAGUGAACAAGUACCGUGAGGGAAAGGUGAAAAGUACCCCUGUUAGGGGAGUGAAAUAGUACCUGAAACCGAAUGCCUACAAUCAGUCGGAGCCGACUUUGAUCGGUGACGGCGUACCUUUUGUAUAAUGGGUCAUCGACUUGGUCUUACGAGCAAGCUUAAGCCGAUAGGUGUAGGCGCAGCGAAAGCGAGUCUUAACAGGGCGUACAGUUCGUGGGAUCAGACCCGAAACCGAGUGAUCUAGGCAUGGACAGGCUGAAGGCAAGAUAACACUUGCUGGAGGGCCGAACCCACAUCUGUUGAAAUAGGUCGGGAUGAGCUGUGCCUAGGGGUGAAAGGCCAAUCAAACUCGGAGAUAGCUGGUUCUCCGCGAAAUCUAUUUAGGUAGAGCGUCGGACGAAUACCCCCGGGGGUAGAGCACUGGAUGGGUAAUGGGGCCCCACAGGCUUACUGAUCCUAACCAAACUCCGAAUACCGGGGAGUACUGUCCGGCAGUCACACUGCGGGUGCUAACGCCCGUAGUGGAGAGGGAAACAACCCUGACCGACAGCUAAGGCCCCUAAUUCGUGGCUAAGUGGGAAAGCAGGUGGGACGACCAAAACAACCAGGAGGUUGGCUUAGAAGCAGCCAUCCUUUAAAGAAAGCGUAACAGCUCACUGGUCUAAACAAGUUGUCCUGCGGCGAAGAUGUAACGGGGCUCAAGCCACGAGCCGAAGCUUCGGGUCGCGCAAGCGGCGGUAGCGGAGCGUUCUGUGACACGGGUAUGGCAUUGUCUUCGGAUUUCGGUCCGGAGACGUUUUUGCCUUAUCUGCUGAGAAGCCGGGCCGUGAGGUUGCCGGUGGAGCGAACAGAAGUGAGUAUGAUGACAUGAGUAGCGAUAAACAGAGUGAGAAACUCUGUCGCCGAAAGUCCAAGGGUUCCUGCUUAAAGCUAAUCUGAGCAGGGUAAGCCGGCCCCUAAGGCGAGGCCGAAAGGCGUAGUCGAUGGGAACCAGGUUAAUAUUCCUGGGCCUGGAGGAUGUGACGGAUCGCAAAGACUGUCCGACCUUAUUGGAUUGGUCGGGCUUUUCAGCGGUUCCAGGAAAUAGCCCUCCAUAAGACCGUACCCCAAACCGACACAGGUGGACCGGUAGAGUAUACCAAGGCGCUUGAGAGAACCACGUUGAAGGAACUCGGCAAAAUACCUCCGUAAGUUCGCGAGAAGGAGGCCCGGCUGGCAGGUUCGCCUGUUGGUCGGGGGCACAAACCAGGGGGUGGCGACUGUUUACUAAAAACACAGGGCUCUGCUAAGCCGCAAGGCGACGUAUAGGGUCUGACGCCUGCCCGGUGCCGGAAGGUUAAAAGGAGGUGUGCAAGCACCGAAUUGAAGCCCCGGUAAACGGCGGCCGUAACUAUAACGGUCCUAAGGUAGCGAAAUUCCUUGUCGGGUAAGUUCCGACCUGCACGAAUGGCGUAACGACUUCCCCGCUGUCUCCAACGUGGACUCAGCGAAAUUGAAUUGCCUGUCAAGAUGCAGGCUUCCCGCGGUUAGACGGAAAGACCCCGUGAACCUUUACUAUAGCUUCGCAUUGGCAUCAGGCUUGUGAUGUGCAGGAUAGGUGGUAGACAUUGAAGGUAGGACGCAAGUCCUGUUGGAGUCACCCUUGAGAUACCACCCUUGACAUUCUUGUUGUCUAACCGCGUUCCGUUAUCCGGAACCGGGACCGUGCGUGGUGGGUAGUUUGACUGGGGCGGUCACCUCCUAAAGAGUAACGGAGGUGUGCGAAGGUGGGCUCAGAGCGGUCGGAAAUCGCUCGUAGAGUGCAAUGGCAAAAGCCCGCUUGACUGCGAGACUGACAAGUCGAGCAGAGACGAAAGUCGGCCAUAGUGAUCCGGUGGUUCCGAGUGGAAGGGCCAUCGCUCAACGGAUAAAAGGUACUCCGGGGAUAACAGGCUAAUGGUGCCCAAGAGUUCAUAUCGACGGCACCGUUUGGCACCUCGAUGUCGGCUCAUCUCAUCCUGGGGCUGGAGCAGGUUCCAAGGGUAUGGCUGUUCGCCAUUUAAAGAGGUACGUGAGCUGGGUUUAGAACGUCGUGAGACAGUUCGGUCCCUAUCUGCCGUGGGUGUAGGAAACUUGAGAGGAGCUGUCCCUAGUACGAGAGGACCGGGAUGGACGCACCACUGGUGGAUCUGUUGUGGCGCCAGCCGCAGUGCAGAGUAGCUAUGUGCGGAACGGAUAACCGCUGAAAGCAUCUAAGCGGGAAGCCACCCUCAAAACAAGGUUUCCCUGAAGGACGGUGGGAGACUACCACAUGAUAGGCCGGAGGUGUAAGUGCAGCAAUGCAUUCAGCUGACCGGUACUAAUAGUCCGUUCGGCUUGAUUAU
rnacentral:rRNA from 1 species